rnacentral:rRNA from 1 species
AACGAACGCUGGUGGCAGGCUUAACACAUGCAAGUCGAACGCAUCCUUCGGGGUGAGUGGCAGACGGGUGAGUAACGCGUGGGAACGUGCCCUUCAGUUCGGGAUAACCCAGGGAAACUUGGGCUAAUACCGGAUACGUGCGAGAGCAGAAAGAUUUAUCGCUGAAGGAUCGGCCCGCGUCUGAUUAGCUAGUUGGUGGGGUAAUGGCCCACCAAGGCGACGAUCAGUAGCUGGUCUGAGAGGAUGAUCAGCCACAUUGGGACUCAGACACGGCCCAAACGCCUACGGGAGGCAGCAGUGGGGAAUAUUGGACAAUGGGCGCAAGCCUGAUCCAGCCAUGCCGCGUGAGUGAUGAAGGCCUUAGGGUCGUAAAGCUCUUUCGUCCGGGACGAUAAUGACGGUACCGGAAGAAGAAGCCCCGGCUAACUUCGUGCCAGCAGCCGCGGUAACAC